GUUAGGAAUAUUGGACAAUGGGCGAAAGCCUGAUCCAGCCAUGUCGCGUGAACGAUGAAGGCCUUCGGGUUGUAAAGUUCUUUAGCCGAUGAUUAUAAUGACUGUAGUCGGAAAAUAAGCCCCGGCUAACUUCGUGCCAGCAGCCGCGGUAAUACGAAGGGGGCGAGCGUUAUUCGGAAUCACUGGGCGUAAAGCGUGCGUAGGCGGUUUUGUAAGUUAGGAGUGAAAGCCCAGGGCUCAACCUUGGAAUUGCUCUUAAAACUGCAAGGCUCGAAUCUCGGAGAGGAUAGCGGAAUUUCCAGUGUAGCAGUGAAAUGCGUAGAUAUUGGAAGGAACACCAGUGGCGUAAGCGGCUAUCUGGACGAGUAUUGACGCUGAGGCACGAAAGCGUGGGGAUCAAACAGGAUUAGAUACCCGUGUAGUCC
rnacentral:rRNA from 1 species